UAAUCAAUUCUACAUUCACUUAACUGGCGCCUUUCAUAAGCUGCCUAACUAAAUUAUAGAGCCCAGAGCAGAGAGACAGAGAGAGUGUGAGGAGAGACGAGAGUAUUUAGCAGAAAGUGCAGCGCAGCCCAGCAUUUACUGUAACACCAAUGGCCACAUUUAUAUGGCCAGCGCUGCCAUAGAAAGUCAAGCUGACACUGUGGGAACACCCCUUAGUUGAGCUGGCGUGCAGCUAAUUGGAGCAAUGUGUUUGGCCUUUAAAAGGCGACGCUAAUGAUACCAAAAUAGAGGAGAGCGGAGAGCGGCGAAGAGCCAUUAAUAAUUGAACGUGUCGGAGCGAUUUGGUGAAUUCACGACAUUGCCGAAACGAUGAUUGGGCUAUAAUAAUUGUUGAAAUCGGCUAUAGCUACAAAUCGAAUUUGUUAUAAUUGAGUUCUCGAUCAUAAUCAAUGGAAGUGGAGCACUGACGAGGCAAGAACCAGAACACGACUGUUAUUAUAUAAUUGAGACAACUGAAGAGAGAGACUGGGAGAGAGAGAGUUGAUCUCGUUGCCGUUGUGAUUUGUGGCACGUACUUUGGCAGCUGGCACCUGCUUUCAGCUGGCGUGGCCCGCUAACAAAUUAAUAAAUGAUUAUUAUAUUACGCAGGCCG